rnacentral:lncRNA from 1 species
GUAUCUUCUAGAGGUCAUAUCAUUUCCCCUUUUGACUCACGUUUCCUGUCAAAAUUGACGUAACUUCAGUCUGCCACUUGAUGUAGCCCUGCCUCCUCACCCACUGGAUGCCAGCUUAGCUCCUGGACUCAACCUUCAGAGCUGUGCAGUGGAAAGGGACCCAUCUGGAACAUGAACUUGGCUCGACCACAUCAGCUGGAGUCUGAUUUCUCAGCUGCUGAAUCAAUCUGUUUCCUGAUAAGACUACCUCACUGGAAGCACCAGGGGAAGUAGUUUAAGGGAAUGAAGAACAUCAGAGGACAGAACCCAGCAGGGCUCAGCAGAUCUUGGAAAACCAGCAGCUGUGGAGUAAGGAACAGGCCAAGUGACACGAGGUCUCAAGCAACCCAGGAUGAUCUCAAACUCACUAUGUAGCUGAGGAUGACAUUGAACUCCUGCCUCUACCUUUCAAGUGUUGGGAUUUAAGACAAGCAGUACCAUGCCCAGAAAAAUAAAAAUAAAAAUCUCACCUCAUAAACAGCAUUAUUUCAGCCAUUUAUCAAAUCAGAAAUUCUUUUCUACGAAAAUAUUAGAGCAGACAGAAGACCAGGAGAUAAGAUUUCUAUUUCCAGUUCAGUCUCUCCCUACCUGUAAAAACACAGAAAAGUCUCUUCUACUCUCAUAGGUUCUCAGCUACCCCUCCCC